GAUGAACGCUAGCGGCAGGCCUAACACAUGCAAGUCUAGGUGCAGCACAGAAAUUCAGCAAUGAGUUUUGGUGGCGACCGGCAGACGGGUGCGUAACGCGUGUGCAACCUACCCUUAACAGGGGAAUAACGGAGGGAAACUUCCACUAAUACACCAUAACAUACCAAGAGGCAUCUCAUGGGGCUGAAAGCCCCGCCGGCUAAGAAUGGGCACGCGUUGGAUUAGAUUGUUGGUGAGGUAACGGCUCACCAAGUCUACGAUACAUAGGGGGACUGAGAGGUUAACCCCCCACACUGGUACUGAGACACGGACCAGACUCCUACGGGAGGCAGCAGUGAGGAAUAUUGGUCAAUGGACGCAAGUCUGAACCAGCCAUGCCGCGUGCAGGAAGACGGCUCUAUGAGUUGUAAACUGCUUUUGCAAGAGGAUAAUCGCGGGUACGUGUACCCGCUUGAAGGUACCUUGCGAAUAAGGAUCGGCUAACUCCGUGCCAGCAGCCGCAGUAA
rnacentral:rRNA from 1 species